GAAGCUUGCUUCUUCUGAUUUUAGCGGCGGACGGGUGAGUAACACGUGGGCAACCUACCUUGUAGAUUGGGAUAACUCCGGGAAACCGGGGCUAAUACCGAAUAAUCCAUUUCGCUUCAUGGCGAGAUGUUGAAAGACGGUUUCGGCUGUCACUACGAGAUGGGCCCGCGGCGCAUUAGCUAGUUGGUAGGGUAAUGGCCUACCAAGGCGACGAUGCGUAGCCGACCUGAGAGGGUGAUCGGCCACACUGGGACUGAGACACGGCCCAGACUCCUACGGGAGGCAGCAGUAGGGAAUCUUCCACAAUGGACGAAAGUCUGAUGGAGCAACGCCGCGUGAGUGAAGAAGGUUUUCGGAUCGUAAAACUCUGUUGUAAGGGAAGAACACGUACGAGAGUAACUGCUCGUACCUUGACGGUACCUUAUUAGAAAGCCACGGCUAACUACGUGCCAGCAGCCGCGGUAAUACGGA
rnacentral:rRNA from 1 species